AUGAAGAGAGGAAGUACCAUUCAUGGCUUCUCUAGGGAUAUACUCAGUGGGAGAAGGAGAAGAAUCAGUGUUCUUGUUGGAGAAGUUUCCCAAGUACUGCAAAAAAUGGAGAACUGGAAGCCAGAAGGGUCCAGAGUCAAAUCAAAAGACUUGAUGAGACUUCAAAGCAGUUUUGGAGUCUUGAAAAAAAUUCAAGGACUCUCUUGAAUCUCCCUAUUACGAACUCCACUUGCCCUUUAUGCAGGGCAGGGGAUUCAUCUCUACCAAUGAAGACAGAGUCCCUUACAAGUGAACUCUGAGAUUAGAGUUAUACUUUCAAGGGGAGAAUUACCUUAAAUGCGGGCCUUAUACAUCUGAGCAAUAGACACAAGCAUAUGGGAGCUCAUCUGGGAUAAUAUUGGGUCUAGUCCUGGAGAGAUUAUUUACUUGGGACUUUAAAUUUUAGAUAGUCUAGUUUUUGAGAUUCUUGAGAAAUUGGCAAUAAUUGUAUACACACUUGUUUUCUGAUAUAUGAUCUCUCACGAAUCAGUUUUAUUGGCAUAAUUUUGUGAACUUUUCAUUUUUUGACUCCUUGAGUGUUUGGAUAUUGAUACUUAUUCUAUUAAUUGUUAAUCCUGAUAAGUAUCAAUUUUUGAAUUGAAUGUGAGAAAUAUGGAGAUUAAAUCAUUCUACUGCCCAGUAGAAAUACUCAUUUUUUUUUGCAUUUAAAUAAAUCUUGACUUUUCUAAAUUGUGAGAACA
rnacentral:lncRNA from 1 species